AUGCAGCUACUCGAGGGCGCGUCGAGGAGGGCCGCCGCCGCCGCCGCUGCUCGAGGGCGCGUCGGGGAGGGCCGCCACUGCUUGAGGUUGGUCGCCAUGUUGCCAUGGCCCGAGCUCGGCUCACGGGGCUCUGCUGCCGCUGGAGGUUGGCCACGCUCUGAGAUGGAGGUUGGCCAGGCUGCCGUUGCUGUGGCCCCGCCCCGCCAGCUCCGUCUCCUCCAUGCGCCUCCGCCCCGCCAGCUCCGGUCUUUUUAUGUCUUCAAAUUUACAUCAUCUGUUGGAGUUGGAUUUUCAUCACCAAAUAUACAUCGUCUGUUGGAGUUGUCUUUUUUUAAUAUGUAA
rnacentral:rRNA from 1 species